rnacentral:rRNA from 1 species
GGCUUACACAUGCAGUCGAGGGGCAUCAGGAAGAAAGCUUGCUUUCUUUGCUGGCGACCGGCGCACGGGUGAGUAACACGUAUCCAACCUGCCCUUUACUCGGGGAUAGCCUUUCGAAAGAAAGAUUAAUACCCGAUGGCAUAAUGAUUCCGCAUGGUUUCAUUAUUAAAGGAUUCCGGUAAAGGAUGGGGAUGCGUUCCAUUAGGUUGUUGGUGAGGUAACGGCUCACCAAGCCUUCGAUGGAUAGGGGUUCUGAGAGGAAGGUCCCCCACAUUGGAACUGAGACACGGUCCAAACUCCUACGGGAGGCAGCAGUGAGGAAUAUUGGUCAAUGGGCGCUAGCCUGAACCAGCCAAGUAGCGUGAAGGAUGAAGGCUCUAUGGGUCGUAAACUUCUUUUAUAUAAGAAUAAAGUGCAGUAUGUAUACUGUUUUGUAUGUAUUAUAUGAAUAAGGAUCGGCUAACUCCGUGCC